CGACGCAUGUGCCUGCAGCGCGAUGCCCAAAUCCCAGCGCGACAAGAAAGUUUCCUUAACCAGAACUGCCAAGAAAGGCUUAGAACUGAAACAGUACCUGAUAGAAGAGCUUCGGAAAUGUGUGGAUACGUACAAGUACCUUUUCAUCUUCUCCGUGGCCAACAUGAGGAACAGCAAGCUGAAGGACAUCCGGAACGCCUGGAAGCACAGCCAGAUGUUCUUUGGCAAAAACAAGGUGAUGAUGGUGGCCUUGGGUCGAAGCCCAGCUGAUGAGUACAAAGACAACCUGCAUCAGGUCAGCAAGAAGUUGAGGGGUGAGGUCGGUCUCCUUUUCACCAACCGCACCAAGGAGGAAGUGAAUGAGUGGUUUACUAAAUACACGGAAAUGGACUUCGCUCGAGCCGGAAACAAAGCAACUUUCACUGUGACCCUGGACCCCGGGCCCCUGGAGCAGUUCCCCCACUCCAUGGAGCCACAGCUGAGGCAGCUGGGCCUGCCCACUGCCCUCAAGAGAGGUGUGGUGACCCUGCUGUCCGACCACGAGGUGUGUAAGGAGGGCGACGUGCUGACCCCAGAGCAGGCCCGCGUGCUGAAGCUUUUCGGGUAUGAGAUGGCUGAAUUCAAGGUCACCAUCAAAUACAUGUGGGAUGCACAGUCUGGAAGGUUCCAGCAGAUGGGAGAUGACUUGCCUGAGAGCGCAUCCGAGUCAGCAGAAGAAUCAGAGGGGGAAGAUGACGGCUGACAGAUACUGGGGACGGACUGUGGGACCACCACCCCACUCGCUGAACAGCAGGGAGGGCAAGAGGGAUGGACUGCUUUUCUAUAAGGAAUAAAACUGUCUGCAAGGUGGCUCCUGUGGACAGCAAAGAGAACUUUUCCUAGAAAA